GACGAACGCUGGCGGCGUGCUUAACACAUGCAAGUCGAACGGAAAGGCCCUGCUUGCAGGGUACUCGAGUGGCGAACGGGUGAGUAACACGUGGGUGAUCUGCCCUGCACUUCGGGAUAAGCCUGGGAAACUGGGUCUAAUACCUGAUAGGAGCCAUUUUUAGUGUGAUGGUUGGAAAGUUUUUUCGGUGUAGGCUGAGCUCGCGGCCUAUCAGCUUGUUGGUGUGGUAAUGGCCUACCAAGGCGGCGACGGGUAGCCGGACUGAGAGGGUGGACGGCCAUCUUGGGACUGAGAUAAGGCCCAGACUCCGAAGGGAGGGAGAAGUGGGGAAUAUUGCACAAUGGGCGCAAGCCUGAUGCAGCGAGGCCGCGUGGGGGAUGACGGCCUUCGGGUUGUAAACUCCUUUCGCAAGGGACGAAGCUUUUUGUGACGGUACCUAGAUAAGAAGCACCGGCUAACUACGUG
rnacentral:rRNA from 1 species